rnacentral:rRNA from 1 species
GAUGAACGCUAGCUACAGGCUUAACACAUGCAAGUCGAGGGGUAACGAGAGGAAAGCUUGCUUUCCUUGUCGACGACCGGCGCACGGGUGAGUAACGCGUAUCCAACCUGCCCCCAACUAGGGAAUAACCUUGCGAAAGUAAGACUAAUACCCUAUAAUUUCCUCAGAUGUCAUCUGACGAGGAAUAAAGAUUUAUCGGUUGUGGAUGGGGAUGCGUCUGAUUAGCUUGUUGGCGGGGUAACGGCCCACCAAGGCAACGAUCAGUAGGGGUUCUGAGAGGAAGGUCCCCCACAUUGGACCUGAGACACGGUCCAAACUCCUACGGGCGGCAGCAGUGAGGAAUAUUGGUCAAUGGGCGGAAGCCUGAACCAGCCAAGUAGCGUGCAGGAUGACGGCCCUAUGGGUUGUAACCUGCUUUUAUACAGGAAUAAAGUUAGCCACGUGUGGUUAUUUGUAGGUACUGUAUGAAUAAGGACCGGCUAAUUCCGUGCCAGCCGCCGCUGUAA